rnacentral:lncRNA from 1 species
GCUGUGACGUUGACGUCGAGGUGGUGGGCUGUGACGUUGACGUCGAUGCCCACAAGGAGGAUGGCCCCACUACCCUAGACUUCUUCGGGACGACCCUGGUGCAGGACGUUGCCAACGACAAGAAGGAUCUUGCUAACCUGAAGCAAGCUUCUGCUAAGGUCAUGGAGGUUUUAUACACAAGUUGGUUGACCUAAUUUGGUGUUGACCUUCAUUUAGUCUUCUUUCUUUGAAUUGCUGGACUAACUUUUGUACAGAACCUGGCUGAGUGUGCGC